UUACCUUAAUUUUCUUAACUACAAAGUAGCAUUAUUUGUCCUACAUUUAUUUGAAAAUUGGAGUUUUUGUUGGCAGCUGGUCAUAUGCAUGAGAACUUGUGCUAGUUGGCGGACUCUGACAAGGUAUUUUUCACAAUUAUGUGAGCAUUUAAUGUGAGUGUGUGUAUUUUUAAGCUAAUUUAUAUAACUUUUUGUGAAACUUAGAAUUCCUUGAUAUUGAAAUUUCUAACUAGUGACCAACAAAAUAUUAUAACAAAUUCAAAUAAUAUUUUUGUGUAAGGACCUAAGCAUUAUUAAAUUGUUAUAUUGCCUUUUC
rnacentral:lncRNA from 1 species